rnacentral:rRNA from 1 species
UACGUAGGGUGCGAGCGUUUAAUCGGAAUUACUGGGCGUAAAGCGUGUGCAGGCGGUUUGUUAAGACAGGUGUGAAAUCCCCCGGGCUUAACCUGGGAAUUGCGCUUGUUACUGGCAAGCUAGAGUGCGUCAGAGGGAGGUGGAAUUCCACGUGUAGCAGUGAAAUGCGUAGAGAUGUGGAGGAACACCGAUGGCGAAGGCAGCCUCCUGGGAUGACACUGACGCUGAGGCGCGAAAGCUAGGGGAGCAAACGGG